UGCAAGUCGAACGCUUUGUGGUUCAACUGAUUUGAAGAGCUUGCUCAGAUAUGACGAUGGACAUUGCAAAGAGUGGCGAACGGGUGAGUAACACGUGGGAAACCUACCUCUUAGCAGGGGAUAACAUUUGGAAACAGAUGCUAAUACCGUAUAACAAUGACAACCGCAUGGUUGUUAUUUAAAAGAUGGUUCUGCUAUCACUAAGAGAUGGUCCCGCGGUGCAUUAGCUAGUUGGUAAGGUAAUGGCUUACCAAGGCGAUGAUGCAUAGCCGAGUUGAGAGACUGAUCGGCCACAAUGGGACUGAGACACGGCCCAUACUCCUACGGGAGGCAGCAGUAGGGAAUCUUCCACAAUGGGCGAAAGCCUGAUGGAGCAACGCCGCGUGUGUGAUGAAGGGUUUCGGCUCGUAAAACACUGUUGUAAGAGAAGAAUGACAUUGAGAGUAACUGUUCAAUGUGUGACGGUAUCUUACCAGAAAGGAACGGCUAAAUACGUGCCAGCAGCCGCGGUAAUACGUAUGUUCCAAGCGUUAUCCGGAUUUAUUGGGCGUAAAGCGAGCGCAGACGGUUAUUUAAGUCUGAAGUGAAAGCCCUCAGCUCAACUGAGGAAUUGCUUUGGAAACUGGAUGACUUGAGUGCAGUAGAGGAAAGUGGAACUCCAUGUGUAGCGGUGAAAUGCGUAGAUAUAUGGAAGAACACCAGUGGCGAAGGCGGCUUUCUGGACUGUAACUGACGUUGAGGCUCGAAAGUGUGGGUAGCAAACAGGAUUAGAUACCCUGGUAGUCCACACCGUAAACGAUGAGUGCUAGGUGUUUGAGGGUUUCCGCCCUUAAGUGCCGCAGCUAACGCAUUAAGCACUCCGCCUGGGGAGUACGACCGCAAGGUUGAAACUCAAAGGAAUUGACGGGGACCCGCACAAGCGGUGGAGCAUGUGGUUUAAUUCGAAGCAACGCGAAGAACCUUACCAGGUCUUGACAUCCCUUGACAACUCCAGAGAUGGAGCGUUCCCUUCGGGGACAAGGUGACAGGUGGUGCAUGGUUGUCGUCAGCUCGUGUCGUGAGAUGUUGGGUUAAGUCCCGCAACGAGCGCAACCCUUAUUACUAGUUGCCAGCAUUCAGUUGGGCACUCUAGUGAGACUGCCGGUGACAAACCGGAGGAAGGUGGGGAUGACGUCAAAUCAUCAUGCCCCUUAUGACCUGGGCUACACACGUGCUACAAUGGCGUAUACAACGAGUUGCCAACCCGCGAGGGUGAGCUAAUCUCUUAAAGUACGUCUCAGUUCGGAUUGUAGGCUGCAACUCGCCUACAUGAAGUCGGAAUCGCUAGUAAUCGCGGAUCAGCACGCCGCGGUGAAUACGUUCCCGGGUCUUGUACACACCGCCCGUCACACCAUGAGAGUUUGUAACACCCAAAGCCGGUGGGGUA
rnacentral:rRNA from 1 species